ACGCUCGACACCUACAGGAGGCAGCAGUUGGGAAUAUUGGACAAUGGAGGAAACUCUGAUCCAGUGACGCCGCGUGAAGGAAGAAGGUCUUCGGAUUGUAAACUUAUUUUGUCAGGGAAGAAAAAUGACUGUACCUGAAGAAAAAGCACCGGCUAACUACGUGUCAGCAGCCGCGGUAAUCUGAGCGGGCUGGCAAGGC
rnacentral:rRNA from 1 species